UGGGGAAUAUUGCACAAUGGGGGAAACCCUGAUGCAGCGACGCCGCGUGAAGGAAGAAGUAUCUCGGUAUGUAAACUUCUAUCAGCAGGGAAGAUAGUGACGGUACCUGACUAAGAAGCCCCGGCUAACUACGUGCCAGCAGCCGCGGUAAUACGGAGGAUCCGAGCGUUAUCCGGAUUUAUUGGGUUUAAAGGGUGCGUAGGCGGUUUGAUAAGUUAGAGGUGAAAGCUCGAUGCUCAACAUCGAAAUUGCCUCUGAUACUGUCAGACUAGAGUGUAGUUGCGGAAGGCGGAAUGUGUGGUGUAGCGGUGGAAUGCGUAGAUAUCGGGAGGAACACCAGUGGCGAAGGCGGCCUACUGGGCACCAACUGACGCUGAGGCUCGAAAGUGUGGGUAGCAAACAGGAUUAGAUACCCUGGUAGUCCACACUGUAAACGAUGAUUACUAGGUGUUGGAGGAUUGACCCCUUCAGUGCCGCAGUUAACACAAUAAGUAAUCCACCUGGGGAGUACGACCGCAAGGUUGAAACUCAAAGGAAUUGACGGGGGCCCGCACAAGCAGUGGAGUAUGUGGUUUAAUUCGAAGCAACGCGAAGAACCUUACCAAGUCUUGACAUCCCUCUGACCGAUCCGUAACGGGAUCUUUCCUUCGGGACAGGGGAGACAGGUGGUGCAUGGUUGUCGUCAGCUCGUGUCGUGAGAUGUUGGGUUAAGUCCCGCAACGAGCGCAACCCCUAUCCUCAGUAGCCAGCAUUUAAGGUGGGCACUCUGGGGAGACUGCCAGGGAUAACCUGGAGGAAGGCGGGGAUGACGUCAAAUCAUCAUGCCCCUUAUGAUUUGGGCUACACACGUGCUACAAUGGCGUAAACAAAGGGAAGCGAGCCUGCGAAGGUAAGCAAAUCCCAAAAAUAACGUCCCAGUUCGGACUGCAGUCUGCAACUCGACUGCACGAAGCUGGAAUCGCUAGUAAUCGCGGAUCAGAAUGCCGCGGUGAAUACGUUCCC
rnacentral:rRNA from 1 species